rnacentral:rRNA from 1 species
UGGCGGCAUGCCUAACACAUGCAAGUCGAACGAAGGCUUCGGCCUUAGUGGCGCACGGGUGCGUAACGCGUGGGAAUCUGCCCAAAGGUACGGAAUAACUCCUCGAAAGGGGUGCUAAUACCGUAUGAUGUCGCAAGACCAAAGAUUUAUCGCCUUUGGAUGAGCCCGCGUAAGAUUAGCUUGUUGGUGGGGUAAAGGCCUACCAAGGCGACGAUCUUUAGCUGGUCUGAGAGGAUGAUCAGCCACACUGGGACUGAGACACGGCCCAGACUCCUACGGGAGGCAGCAGUGGGGAAUAUUGGACAAUGGGGGCAACCCUGAUCCAGCCAUGCCGCGUGAGUGAUGAAGGCCUUCGGGUUGUAAAGCUCUUUUGGCGAGGACGAUGAUGACGGUACCCGCAGAAUAAGCCCCGGCUAACUUCGUGCCAGCAGCCGCGGUAAGACGAAAGGGGCU